UUUUUUGCGGGGAGAAUUGACCGAAGUGAGCGGAUUUGAAGACAACGAUAAAUGACUACCUUACGCACCAAUAAUUUUAGCGAAGCUUCAUUGAUUGACUAUAUUUCUGCCAAAUGACCACUGAUCUUAUUGAAAUCUAGCUGGGUAGAUAGCCAAUGAGCUGAGGUCAACGCCAGUAUGUAAUGGUUUGUGGUUUGACCACAAUUCCUAGUUUGUAAUCGCACGCGCAGGCAACUCCAUUCUCGCCUUGACGAUCAGAGGAGUUGCUGUAAGGCUUUUUACGCGCAGAUGUAUUUCGGAAAGUUGUAGUUUCAACGAUUUCAUUGAAGAUAUCAUGGCGAAUAAAUCAUGUAAAGCGAAGUCAAACUCUAAAGUGAAAGUGAAAAAGUGAAAGUGAGACUGAUUUUUUGUUUGAGGAAUCUUGGAGUGUUAUGAUUCAAACGAACUGAGGAGCUGUUUAUGCAAAGACAGGACGUACUUCUGGACGGUGAUAGCGACUCCAACUGGGGGCCCCCGGUGCCAAGCUGCCCGCUCUACCUGUGCCCCCAGUGGUGUUCAUAUGCCACAGUUCAUUACUGCAGGCAUGACUGUGCCUCAGGGCCAAAAGGGCACAGCAUGGAGGCAUCGUUGUGUUCUGUGUCGCAUGAAAUGCACCACUUGUUCAGUUUGCCUCUGCUUUACAUCAGAAAGAGACUGCUAUGGGACAUGGCACAGGCAGCAAAAUAUUAUGACGAGGACUUCCAAGGGGUGUACAGUUUUUUAAAUCUUUUUUUCCCCCUAAUAUUUUUUUAAACAUUUUUUUUUGUGUGUGUGUGUGUUAGAAUUUGGAAUGUUUUAUAUGUUGUAUAGUUGUUUGCACUGCUGUACAUAGUUAUAGGUCAUUUCACCAAUUCGGCCACUUGGGUACAUUUGGGCAACUUGUGUGGGACACCUGGGUGACUUCAUGCUAAAUGUCAUGUAGCUCACCCAUUCCUGAAGUUAUCAGUCUGAAACUUUGCACACCUACAGUUGCCCUCUUGUGUUAUCCAUCAAAAUUUUCUCCAGCAUCCUAUCUGACUGUGUGGCUAUUCUAGUACAUGUGAAAGAUGAUACUACAACAAUAAAAAACAGAAAACGUA